AACGAACACUGGCGGCGUGCCUAACACAAUGCAAGUCGUGCGAGAAAGUUCCUUCGGGAGCGAGUAAAGCGGCGCACGGGUGAGUAACACGUAGGUAACCUGCCCCCCAGUCUGGAACAACUAGAGGAAACUCUAGCUAAUGCCGGAUGAGACCACGAUCCCUUCGGGGGUUGCGGCCAAAGAUGGCCUCUACUUGUAAGCUAUCGCUGAGGGAUGGGCCUGCGGGCCAUUAGCUUGUUGGUGAGGUAACGGCUCACCAAGGCUGUGAUGGCUAGCUGGUCUGAGAGGAUGACCAGCCACACUGGGACUGAGACACGGCCCAGACUCCUACGGGAGGCAGCAGUGGGGAAUAUUGCGCAAUGGGCGAAAGCCUGACGCAGCGACGCCGCGUGGGUGAUGAAGGCCU
rnacentral:rRNA from 1 species